rnacentral:rRNA from 1 species
UACAGAGAGGGCAAGCGUUGUUCGGAAUUACUGGGCGUAAAGGGCGCGUAGGCGGCCCGCUAAGUCGAACGUGAAAUCCCCGAGCUCAACUCGGGAACUGCGUCCGAUACUGGCGGGCUUGAAUCCGGGAGAGGGAUGCGGAAUUCCAGGUGUAGCGGUGAAAUGCGUAGAUAUCUGGAGGAACACCGGUGGCGAAGGCGGCAUCCUGGACCGGCAUUGACGCUGAGGCGCGAAAGCUAGGGGAGCAAACGGG